AACUCUCUCCCACAUCUCUCCCUGUCUCCCACUUGACUAUCGGGAAGACCUCUGAAGACGUCUCUAAGGAACACACGUACUGGGCACCAGGAGAUAAAGGUUAAGGUUGAUAGCAGGGAAGGUAAACUGCCUCUCCUAAUGCAAAAUGAAAUCUGUAUAAUAAGGAAGACAAGUAAGAAUUAUUAUAAGAAAGAAGCAUGUUAUUUUAUAUUCCUUAUCUCACAACACUGGUAUUAUUAACCCCAUUUUACUGAUGAGGACACUGACCUAAAUAAUUAAGAAAUUUGCCCAUACAGCCAGCAAAUGACAGAGCCUGGUGAGGUACCUGGGCAGUGUGCCUUCAGAGCUGGCACCUGUGACUGCCUGUUCUACUACCCCCUGUCUUGCUCCUUUGACUGUGACCUCCCUUGAGGAAGGGUAAGAGUAGGCCCUAUUUCUUAAAUCUGCACUCUGUAACUUACCUGAGGCACUCCUCCAUAGCUGGCAUUUUCCUAGCAUCUGUGGCCUAAAUAAUCUGUUUACAGGUGAGAAGUCUCCUUGUAUCUCUCUGGCACUCCUCCUCCCUCAGUUUGGCCAACCUCUGCAACCACAGAAGCUGCAUCCAGAGGCAUCCUUAUGUUCCCUGUGUAUGUGGUCAAGGGGGCUGGUUAUCGAGGCUAGGGACCACCAGUCUCCAUGUAUCCCCUCAGAGUCUAUGUGCAAUGCUCCUUCCAUUCUUUUUUUUUUAAGACUUUAUUUUCUGAGAGCAGUUUGGGUUUACAAUAAACUUAAGAUAAGGGUACAGAGAUUUCCCAUACACCCCCUACCCCAAAAUAUACAUAGCCCUCCCCCCUUUAUCAACAUCACUUGCCAGAAUGGUACAUUUUUUACCAAGUAUGAACCUACAUUGACACAUCGUAGUCACCCAGAAUCCAUAAUUUAACUAAGGGUUCACACUUGGUGUUGUACAGUGGAUUUGGACAAAUGACUAAUGGCUAUAUACCUAUCAUUAUAAUACCAUACAGAGUAUUUCCACUGCCCUAAAAAUCCUCUGUGCUCUGCAUAUUCAUCUCUCCCCCUCCACGCUCACCCCCAGCAGUGAUUAUUCUUACUGUCUCCAUAGAUUUGCCCUUUCCACAAUGUCAAAUAGUUGAAAUUAUAUGGUAUGAAGCCUUCUCAGUUUGGCUUUUUUCACUUAGUAAUAUGAGCUUCAGAUUCCUCCAUGUCUUUACAUGGCUUGAUAGCCCAUUUCUUUUUAGCUCUGAAUUAUAUUCCAUUGUUGGCUGUACCACAGUUUAUCCACGCACCUGCCGAAGGACACCUUGGUUGCUUCCAAGUUUGAGCCAUUAUGAAUGAAACUGCUAAAAACAUCCAUUUGUAGAGUUUUGUGUGGACAGAAGUUUUCAGUUCCUUUGGGAGUGUAAUUAUGAAGGAGUGCCAUUGCUGGAUCAUAUGGUAAGAAGAUGCUUAGUUUUGUUACAAAAUCAAACUGUCUUCCAGAGUGGCUAUACCGGUUUGCAUUUCCACCAUCGAUGUCUGAGAGAUUCUGUUACUCCAUAUCCUCACCAGCAUUUGGUGUUGUCAGUGUUCCAGAUUUUGGCCAUUCUAACAGGAUUCUAUCGAACUAUCCUCAAGUACAGAGAUUCUUUCCUCAGCAGUCCAGUCUACUAAUAAGCCCGUCAAAGUGAAUACUGCUGUCUGCCACCUGCUGCACAGAGCGGGGUGUUGCUCCAGGACGUUGCUUCAGACAAUGGUGAAGAUUAGCCUGAAGAGCUCAACCACCACAUCAGCUGGAAACUGAGGGAUGAUGUUGUUGACCUUUUCUGACUCUCGUGACUUCAGUCAACUGAAGCUUGGACUCUGUCAGACAGCCGAAGCCCCUCCGUGAAUAUGCAUGGACCCUUCCUUAGCUUAACACUUGCCCCGUUUUGCUGUUUGGGGUGACACUGCUUUGGGAAAGAUCCCCAGUAUUCUCCUUACUGGUUGCAAGUGAUAAAUCCUUCUUCCUCCUGAUCUUUGGCUUGGUUGUCUUUUAGCUCGACACCCACCAAAAGGGGAACCCCAUUUGGGGGUAACGGUUUUUUCUUGAUAGCC